GGCUUUAUAGUCAUAAAAUGAUAUUAGACUGCAAUUCUAAAGGAGUAAUAAUUACUAAGGCUU
rnacentral:tRNA from 1 species